AGGGAUGUAGCGCAGUUAGGUAGCGUGUUUGUUUGGGGUGAAAAAUGUUUGUGUUCAAAUCCUGUCAUCCCUA
rnacentral:tRNA from 1 species